AUGGAGUUGUUCAUCUUCAUAGUGUUUCAGCUCCUGAUGGAGGUUCAGUCUUACAAAUCUCCUACUGUGAAAGUAUCUCCAGAUCCCAUAAGAGAGUCCAGCUCAGUGAAGAUCAGCUGUGAGACUCCAGCAGAUGUUAGAGUGAGUCAGUGUUAUUUCUACACAAACAGAGAACAGAAGAAUAUAAAAGUCAGUUCAUCAUGUGAGCUCGAGCUCACUGGUGCUGAAGUGCUCAGAUGGGCAGGUGUAAAAUCACCUGAAUCAAUCUACAUUAACUGUUACUACACAAUAAAUGAACGAGGCAUCGAUAAACCCUCAUCUCAUUCUCCUCCUGCCACAGUGACGGUUCUAGAUUCAUUUCCGAAACCCAUCAUCAGUGUUAGUGGAGAUGAUGACCAGCUCUUCAUAUCAUGUGAAAUACCACUUUCAGUCAGAGAUGAUUUCAACUGUAGUUUCUACACUGAGGAUGAUGUUCUUCUGUGUCAACGUGUCUCUCAGUGGAGUCAGUCUGGAAAGAAUCUUUGUAUGUUUCUCAGUAGAGUCAGUCUGGAAAGAAUCUCUGUAUGUUUUAUGUAAGUCGUAGUGAACUCUUCACACGAUCAGUGAACAGCAGACAACUGAUCUGUGUUUAUUCACUCAAAACUGAACCUGAGAUCAGAUCACCACACAGUGACACAUACACCUUCAGAGACACAUACACCUUCAGAGACACAGUCACCAUCAGAGGUGAGUUAUUAUUAUUAUCAUCUUUAAAACAUGAGCACAUUUGAUGAUUAGAGACACCUGUAUAAUUAUUUAGACAGUAUGAUUUAUUAUGUAGGCAAGUAGUAUCAAAGUACUUUUAAGGCAAGUCAUGUCACUCUGCGGCCAUCUUUGAACGCCUCUCGAGCAUGCAAGUGAAGCUCCUAUCUCUGUGAAUGGGGAAACAUCAAAUUCUCCAAAACUCACCAAGCUUAUGAUUAAAUUUAAUAUUUGAAAUCACCAAUGCAAUCUGACAACACCUGUCUCAUAAAUUUAUAUUAUUCAUAUAGCAUUAAAAAGCUUAUUUUUCAGGCUACACCAGCCAUAUGCGCAGUCCUUAGCACAUGUCUCCAGAAUGCUGACAGUUUCUAUAGCAACAAGACUUUUAACAGCAGCUGCAGUGACACAAUAACUGUUCUGAUUAGCGAUUGGCUCUUUUAAAAUUUAAAAUUCUUUUUAAAUGUCUUUAUCAUCACUUUUGAUCAAUUUAAAGCAUUCUUGCUAAAUAAAAGCAUUAAUUUCUAUAAUUUUUUUUCCA
ensembl:lncRNA